rnacentral:rRNA from 1 species
GACGAACGCUGGCGGCGUGCUUAACACAUGCAAGUCGAACGAAGUGGCGAACGGGUGAGUAAUACGUGGGUAACCUGCCCUCCUUUUUGGGAUAAGCCUUGGACACGGGGUCUAAUACCGAAUAUGGGGGGAUGGGCUCGCGGCCUAUGAGCUUGUUGGUGGGGUGCUGGCCUCGCAAGGCGGUGACGGGUCGUCGGGCUGCGAGGGUGAGCGGCCACAUUGGGACGGAGAUACGGGCCAGGCGCCUACGGGAGGGAGCAGUGGGGGAUAUUGCACAAUGGGCGAAAGCCUGAGGCAGCUGCGCCGCGUGGGGGAUGAAGGCUUUCGGGUUGUAAACCUCUGUCGCUAGCGAACGGGUAGGUGGAGAAGAAGCGCCGGCUAACUACGUGCCAGCAGCCGCGGUAAUAC